rnacentral:lncRNA from 1 species
CAGGAGAACCCUGUCCCCACAGGAUCUUCGUUCGGAGGACUGAACUUGAGAUGUUACCGACACUCCCUGCCUCUCUCUGGGCUGCAACCUGUGCUUCAGCCAUGAAGACUUGCUAGGAGUCCCCUACAUUUCAUUGUCUUUAUCCCCUUUGAGACUUUGAAAGUGACAUUUUCAAGUCUAGAGUAUCAUUUAAAGUUUUGGUGGAGAGAUUUAAUGAAUGCAUAUAUAUGUGCAAAUAUAUAUUUAUUUAUGCAAAGUAGUUUAAUUUUUCCUUUGAAGGUUUUGUUGUUUGUCUUCUUGGAGCUAGAAAUAAGUUUUCUGAACCUCUGGGCUCUUUGAAGUCUGGUCAUGCUUGGGGAUAACUGACAGUGUCAUCGAAGCCACUCUUUUAAGAAGAUUGAAGGUACAAGAUGUGAGUUAUAUUGAGUUAUUUGGACGAGUUUUUCAAAUAUUGAUCAUCCAGCAAACUCAUACCUCGUCUCCUACUCUCUGUGCCAUUUUCUCCCUCCCACUUUUGGUCUCUUUUCUUUCCUCAUCUUUCCUCAUAUCAUUGUCCAGUUUUAGCAAAAGUAUCAGAGGAUG